rnacentral:rRNA from 1 species
UUUAAGUCAGGCAACGAGCGAGACCCACGCCGACAAUUGCCAGCAGCAUCUCCGGAUGGCUGGGGACAUUGUCGGGACCGCCUCUGCUAAAGGGGAGGAAGGAAUGGGCAACGGUAGGUCAGCAUGCCCCGAAUUAUCCGGGCUACACGCGGGCUACAAUGGACGGGACAAUGGGUAACAACACCGAAAGGUGAAGUCAAUCUCCUAACCCCGCCCUUAGUUAGGAUUGCGGGUUGCAACUCACCCGCAUGAAUCUGGAAUCUGUAGUAAUCGCGUUUCACUAUAGCGCGGUGAAUACGUCCCUGCUCCUUGCACACACCGCCCGUCAAACCAUCCUAGUGGGGUUUGGAUGAGUCCCUGCUCCUUGCACAA